rnacentral:rRNA from 1 species
GACGAACGCUGGCGGCGUGCUUAACACAUGCAAGUCGAACGAUGAAGGAGGAGCUUGCUCCUCUGGAUUAGUGGCGAACGGGUGAGUAAUACGUGAGCAAUGUGCCCUUGACUCUGGGAUAAGCGCUGGAAACGGCGUCUAAUACCGGAUACGACCCUCGGAGGCAUCUCCUGAUGGUGGAAAGAACUUCGGUCAAGGAUCAGCUCACGGCCUAUCAGCUAGGUGGUGAGGUAACGGCUCACCAAGGCGACGACGGGUAGCCGGCCUGAGAGGGUGACCGGCCACACUGGGACUGAGACACGGCCCAGACUCCUACGGGAGGCAGCAGUGGGGAAUAUUGCACAAUGGGCGCAAGCCUGAUGCAGCAACGCCGCGUGAGGGACGAAGGCCUUCGGGUUGUAAACCUCUUUUAGCAGGGAAGAAGCGAAAGUGACGGUACCUGCAGAAAAAGCACCGGCUAACUACGUGCCAGCCGCCGCUGUAAAAC